rnacentral:rRNA from 1 species
AUUGAACGCUGGCGGCAGGCCUAACACAUGCAAGUCGAAUGGUAACAGGAAACAGCUUGCUGUUUCGCUGCCGAGUGGCGGACGGGUGAGUAAUGUCUGGGAAACUGCCUGAUGGAGGGGGAUAACUACUGGAAACGGUAGCUAAUACCGCAUAACGUCGCAAGACCAAAGAGGGGGACCUUCUGGCCUCUUGCCAUCAGAUGUGCCCAGAUGGGAUUAGCUAGUAGGUGGGGUAACGGCUCACCUAGGCGACGAUCCCUAGCUGGUCUGAGAGGAUGACCAGCCACACUGGAACUGAGACACGGUCCAGGCUCCUACGGGAGGCAGCAGUGGGGAAUAUUGCACAAUGGGCGCAAGCCUGAUGCAGCCAUGCCGCGUGUAUGAAGAAGGCCUUCGGGUUGUAAAGUACUUUCAGCGGGGAGGAAGGGAGUAAAGUUAAUACCUUGGCUCAUUGACGUUACCCGCAGAAGAAGCACCGGCUAACUCCGUG